rnacentral:rRNA from 1 species
UACGAAGGGGGCUAGCGUUGCUCGGAAUCACUGGGCGUAAAGCGCACGUAGGCGGAUUGUUAAGUCAGGGGUGAAAGCCUGGAGCUCAACUCCAGAACUGCCCUUGAUACUGGCAAUCUCGAGUCCGGAAGAGGUAAGUGGAACUCCGAGUGUAGAGGUGAAAUUCGUAGAUAUUCGGAAGAACACCGGUGGCGAAGGCGGCAUCCUGGACCGGUAUUGACGCUGAGGCGCGAAAGCCAGGGGAGCAAACGGG